AGACGGGACCCGCACAAGCGGUGGAUGAUGUGGAUUAAUUCGAUGCAACGCGAAAACCUUUACCUACCCUUGACAUGUCUGGAACCUUGCUGAGAGGCGAGGGUGCCUUCGGGAGCCAGAACACAGGUGCUGCAUGGCUGUCGUCAGCUCGUGUCGUGAGAUGUUGGGUUAAGUCCCGCAACGGGCGCAACCCUUGUCAUUAGUUGCCAUCAUUUAGUUGGGCACUCUAAUGAGACUGCCGGUGACAAACCGGAGGAAGGUGGGGAUGACGUCAAGUCCUCAUGGCCCUUAUGGGUAGGGCUUCACACGUCAUACAAUGGUCGGUACAGAGGGUUGCCAAGCCGCGAGGCGGAGCCAAUCCCACAAAGCCGAUCGUAGUCCGGAUUGUUCUCUGCAACUCGAGAGCAUGAAGUCGGAAUCGCUAGUAAUCGCAGGUCAGCAUACUGCGGUGAAUACGUUCCCGGGUCUU
rnacentral:rRNA from 1 species